AUUGAACGCUGGCGGCAGGCCUAACACAUGCAAGUCGAACGAGUGGCGGACGGGUGAGUAAUGUCUGGGAAACUGCCCGAUGGAGGGGGAUAACUACUGGAACCGGUAGCUAAUACCGCAUACUAUCGGAUGUGCCCCUAUGGGAUUAGCUAGUAGGUGGGGUAACGGCUCACCUAGGAGACGAUCCCUAGCUGGUCUGAGAGGAUGACGAGCCAGACCGGCACUGAGACAGGGUCGAGACGCCUACGGGAGGUAGGAGUGGGGAAUAUUGCACAAUGGGCGCAAUGCGGAUGCAGCCAGGCCGAGUGUAUGAAGAAGGCCUUGGGGGUGUAAAGUACUUUCAGCGAGGAGGCGUUACUUGCAGAAGAAGCACCGGCUAACUCCGUGCCAGCAGCCGCGGUAAUUC
rnacentral:rRNA from 1 species